AGACGGAGGGGGCGAGCGUUGUUCGGAAUUACUGGGCGUAAAGGGCGCGUAGGCGGCCGGCCAAGUCAGGGGUGAAAGGCCUGGGCUCAACCCGGGAACGGCCUCUGAAACUGGCGGGCUCGAGGGCGAGAGAGGAUGGCGGAAUUCCCAGUGUAGAGGUGAAAUUCGUAGAUAUUGGGAAGAACACCGGUGGCGAAGGCGGCCAUCUGGCUCGCAACUGACGCUGAGGCGCGAAAGCGUGGGGAGCAAACAGGAUUAGAUACCCUAGUAGUCC
rnacentral:rRNA from 1 species